rnacentral:rRNA from 1 species
AUGUGUGAGGUGGCUGCAACACUGGGUCCAGUUCUGGAAAUUGACAUGAACACCAUUGCCAAGGAGAAGAUUAGAGCCAAGGUUGGAAUAAGAGAUUAUGAAAAAAUUCCAGCCUACACUGAAGUCACAGAUAAGGACCUGAUGAUAUACAAGAUUGUCCCUGAACUAGAAAGUGUUGUUGAGAUGGGAUGGUAUGGAGAACAUAAGAGACAGGAGAGUGAGGGAGCAGAGGCAGAACACAGUGAGGGAGUCAUGAGGAAAAGGCACAAAGGAGAAGAUGAUAACGUGAUAGGGAAUAAAGAGAUGAUAUCUUUGGGUAGUUUGGGACUAGCACAAUUUGAGGAGCUGAAGAAGAAAAAUGUGGAAAUAAUGAGAAUCCAAAAGGAACAAGCUAUAGAGAUGGAGGCAAGGAAAAAAGUGGAGACUAGUAUGGAAAUGAUCAUGAAGAAGGUGACAGAUCUAGAGGAAGACAAGGCAAGACAAAAAGCUCUCAGAAUGAAGGAAGAAAAGAAGAUCAUGGAAUUGGAACAAGAGAAGAAAGUACUCAUGGAAAUGAUCAAUAAACAGCAAGGUGUGAUUGAUAGAUGUGUGGAUAAAAUUGAGAUGUGGGAAACAAGAGAGAAAGAAUUGGAGGAGAUAACUGAUACUGAUCUGAGAAACAUGGACACUGACAAAAAGGAAGAAAAUCACAAUAAUUACAAUGAGGCAGUGGACUACAAUGCUAGUCAAGAAUCUGUCUCCUUUGCUACUAAGGUAGGAGUGAAAACUGGAGAAAAUGAGGCAGAAAACAGUGAGACAGAGGAGGAACAACUUAGAAGGUGUGGGAGGUUGGCUGGCAAGCAGGAUUCUAAAAUUGAAGAUCUGGCCAAGGAGAGAGCGGCUGCCAAAGAUAAUUAUGAAAAAAAAAGCCGGAGGAAAGACUAA